GUCGCUUCUCGGCCUUUGGCUAAGAUCAAGUGUAGUAUCCUUUUAUCAGUUUAUUAUCUGACACAUCCACUAUCUGGGGACCAUUUAUAAUAUGGAUUUUGAGGAUGGGGGCUGAUUUUGAUGCUGGCUUGUCGCCCUGUGCAUUAAUCAGACUUCACGGUUUCUUUUUGUACAGCAUACCAC